rnacentral:tRNA from 1 species
GUCGGGAUAGCUCNNCUGGGAAAGCAGAGGACUGAAAAUC